rnacentral:rRNA from 1 species
AACGAACGCUGGCGGCAGGCCUAACACAUGCAAGUCGAGCGAACCCUUCGGGGUUAGCGGCGGACGGGUUAGUAACGCGUGGGAAUAUACCCUUUGGUACGGAAUAGCCUCGGGAAACUGAGAGUAAUACCGUAUGUGCCCUUCGGGGAAAGAUUAUCGCCAAAGGAUUAGCCCGCGUUGGAUUAGGUAGUUGGUGGGGUAAUGGCCUACCAAGCCUACGAUCCAUAGCUGGUUUGAGAGGAUGAUCAGCAACACUGGGACCGAGACACGGCCCAGACUCCUACGGGAGGCAGCAGUGGGGAAUCUUAGACAAUGGGCGCAAGCCUGAUCUAGCCAUGCCGCGUGGACGAUGAAGGCCUUAGGGUUGUAAAGUCCUUUCAGAUGGGAAGAUAAUGACGGUACCAUCAGAAGAAGCCCCGGCUAACUCCGUG